CUUGAUUUUUUGGCAUUUAUCUUUCGUUUGAGAGUUUACGUGUUCAAUUUCAUCGUAGUUUGUUAGUUGGAAUUGGUUCAGUAUUUUCAAAAGAGAAGAUUUUUUAAAGUUUGAAAACAUGAUAAACAAAUUGUGUAAAAUUGUCCUUAAAUUACAAUAACUCUUUAAGGAGUCAAUUGACAAUUUUGGUCAUAUGAACUUAUUUGUAGAUCUUACUUUGUUGAACAUAUUUGCUGUUUACAGCUUAUCUU
rnacentral:lncRNA from 1 species